rnacentral:rRNA from 1 species
GGGUCAGUAGGUUGGUCGUGCCACCGGUACGUACUGGUCUCACUGAUUCCUCCUUCCUGAAGAACCGUAAUGCCAUUAAUUUGGUGUUGCGGGGAAACAGGACUUUUACUUUGAAAAAAUUAGAGUGUUUAAAGCAAGCUAACGCUUGAAUACAUUAGCAUGGAAUAAUGAAAUAGGACGAUCGAUCCUAUUUUGUUGGUCUCUAGGAUUGACGUA